AGAGAACCCCGGGGCCACAGAGAAUCAGAACGAGCACACUUAACUGCUGUGCUACAGGGCUGGUCCCCCCCAAAGUAAUUUGUAUUGAGCCAACCUUGUUUAUACUUCACCAAUUCACCUCUCCACUUCCCAGCCCUAUGGGAGGAAAAUCCCAGACAAAUGAUUUCGUCCCUCAGUAUUUUGAUCUAGAAAGUAAGGAGUUUUAAAUAGAACUACAAUACUUUUAUUACAAAGAAGUCAACAGUAAUACCUUACUACCCAGUCAGUAUCCAGAUUUCCCUUACUAUCCCUACUGAUGUCUUUUUGUAAUUGGUUUGUUCAGACAAGGUCUGUAUUUUGGCAUUGUUUUUAAUCACAGAUUCUCCAUCUUUUUUUCCUUAAAAUUUAAAGAAGUUGAGUCAUUUGUCCUAAGGAAUAUUCCAUAUUCUGGGUACGCUCAUUGUGACCCCAUGGUGUCACUGAGCACAAUUUUUCUGUCCCUCGUAUUGUAAACUCAUAGAUCUGAAGGCUUGAUAACUUUAAAUUUUUUCCUUAUCUGAAAUUUAGAAGUCUGGAGCCCUAGGCCGUGUGUUCUUCCAGAGUUGGUACUGGACUGCUGCCGAAUUCACCAGGGGUUUCAUUGAGUUCUGAUUCUUAACCCGUUAGUGUUGGUGUGUCACCAUCCUUACACGUCCUUCUGGUUCUGCUAUGUGGGAUGCUGCCUCAGCAUGGCUGGAUGAGCGGUGCUAGGACCACGCCCAGGAUCUGAAUCGGUGAAACCCUGGGCCGCCGAAGCAGAGGCAUGAACUUAACCACGGGGCGGGCCCAAGGUUUUUUAUUAAAGAGCAGAUUUUUAAGAACCAUAUUAAAAGCAUCAGUGUGUUGGGGGCUUAGUUUAGCUGGAGAGACAGAGAAUGUACAUAGGAUUGAUAAGGAAAACCAUCGCUUCCACCCCUGGAAGUGGAAGGCAGCAGCACUCGCUGUGUACUUCGAUCCCCUCACAUCCCCUAGAGUAGCUGUUUGUGUGGCUGGAAGCCACAGCUUCAUUUGUAG
rnacentral:lncRNA from 1 species